UUUAAGUGUAAAUUUGAACUUACCUGGGUAGUAUUAGAUAAGGUCUUAAAACCCAAAGAAUUUGGCGGUAUUUCAUUCCAUUCAGAGGAACCUAUCUCGUAAUUGAUAGUACACGAUUUACUUUACUUAAUUUAUUUGUUUGUAUAUCUCCGUUAUCGGAAAAUCUUUUUGGAGUUAUAAUUUUCCUGUUUUUUCAUUAGAAAUUAUUUCAGGUCAAGGUGCAGCUUAUAGUUAAGUGUAUGAUGGGUUACAAUAAAUUUUUUUAUUACGAAUUUGAUUUUGAAAAGUUUUGAUGAAGGUGGAUUUGAUGGUAAUUUAAUUAAUUUAGGUUAAUUGAUAUUGGCUCUGAGAUGUGU
rnacentral:rRNA from 1 species